UUGAACGCUGGCGGCAGGCCUCACACAUGCAAGUCGAACGGUAACAGGAAGAAGCUUGCUUCUUUGCUGACGAGUGGCGGACGGGUGAGUAAUGUCUGGGAAACUGCCCGAUGGAGGGGGAUAACUACUGGAAACGGUAGCUAAUACCGCAUAACGUCGCAAGACCAAAGAGGGGGACCUUCGGGCCUCUUGCCAUCGGAUGUGCCCAGAUGGGAUUAGCUAGUAGGUGGGGUAACGGCUCACCUAGGCGACGAUCCCUAGCUGGUCUGAGAGGAUGACCAGCCACACUGGAACUGAGACACGGUCCAGACUCCUACGGGAGGCAGCAGUGGGGAAUAUUGCACAAUGGGCGCAAGCCUGAUGCAGCCAUGCCGCGUGUAUGAAGAAGGCCUUCGGGUUGUAAAGUACUUUCAGCGGGGAGGAAGGGAGUAAAGUUAAUACCUUUGCUCAUUGACGUUACCCGCAGAAGAAGCACCGGCUAACUCCGUG
rnacentral:rRNA from 1 species